rnacentral:tRNA from 1 species
UGAGGGAGAGGAAGAGCUCAUGCUUAGCAUGCAUGAGGUCCUGGGUUCAAUCCCCAGUACCUCAA